CGGUGGUAGGUCGCGGAUCUCCCGAAUACGUGUAACGGCUAAUGUCUCCUUAGUCGUGUCUGCUAGGUCCCAGUGAGAUAGCGUCUCACCAACAGCUUAUGAGCCCCGGGUAACGGUUCCCGGCGGUUAAUAUCUGUAGUUGCUUUUUAGCUUGAGCAGGGAGGCUCGCUAGGCAACCGACAUGGGAAAAGGGUGUAACACCGUCCUCCUAGCGGACGGGUCUAACUACUCGCAGUGGCUAGGAGACUUCAGUGAUUUCCUCACUACAUCCAAGUUGAGGAGCUAUAUGACCAACCCGUCGCCUCCGGGCCGCAAUGCGCAAGACGCUCUGGAGGAAGAUGCCCAGGCGCUUGGCUACCUGCGUCUGUCCUGCGAACUGCCCAUAAAGCAGUUGCUAAGGAACUGCUUUACUGGCAGUUCGCUUUACUGACCGCGUCCUCGUCGACGGUAAGGUGACUGUUAGCAGCGACGUCACCUUCGACGAUGUCCUCCGCGGCCUGGCGUCUCAACGGGCGGGCACCCCCUUCGGCAUCAGCCCCGCCCGUCCUGGCAGCAGCGACCCCGUCGGCGGCUCUACACAGCCCGCCACACCGCCGCCUCCCGUGGAUGCCCUGCCCCCAGUAAACCCAGCGCCCGCCCUCCGCCCCAAUACUUGCAGUCAACGGCAACCGCUGCACCCGCCGCUGGCCCUGGUCAGCCCGGCCAACAACAGCAGCGGCGGCGGCGGAGAUUUGGGUAGUCCACCGCUGCUUAACAAAGCGUCGGGUAGCACCGAUUGUGCUGAGGCAGGCGACGGCUGUGCGGGCGGCGGAGGCAACAGCACGGUGCAGGAGCCGCGCAGUUAUGAGGAAGCGGUGGCGAGUCCGCAAGCUGACAAGUGGAAGACUUCGAUGGAUGACGAGAUCCUGUCGCAGCUUUCCAACAAGACAUGGGAGUUGGGCACGCCGCCACCCGGUGCACGCAUCCUGGACUGCCGCUGGGUUUACAAGAUCAAACAGGAGCCUGGCAGUGAGGUACGCUAUAAGUCGCGCUUGGUGGUGAAGGGCUUUGAACAGCGAGCGGGCAUAGACUAUGGAGAGCUGUUUGCGCCCACUACGCGUGCAGCCUCCCUGCGGGCACUUCUAGCUGUGGCAGCGGCCAGGGGUAUGACGGUCCAUCAGAUGGACGUCAAAACGGCUUUCUUGAACGGCGACCUGGCAGAGGAGCUGUGGAUGCGACAGCCACCAGGUUACAGCAAUGGCGACCCGACGCAGCUGUGCCGGCUGUUAAAGUCUGUUUACGGCCUCGAGCAAGCCCCGCGCUGCUGGUACGAGAAACUGGCGGCGGAGUUGGGCAAGCUAGGCUAUGGGCCGUCUAUGUCCGACCCCGCACUAUUCGUCAAGCGCGGGUCCGACGGCUCAAUUUAUGUGCUUGUGCACGUUGACGGCAUGCUGGUGGCGGCGGACAACUUGCAAUUGGUCACGGCCGCCAAAGCAGCCAUCACCGGUUGCUUCGCAGUGUGUGAUUUUGGAUAAACACGCUCAGCCUCGGCAACAACCCCAUCACGUCGGUGCGCUCCAAGCACAUCGAUGUGCACCAUCACAUCGUGCGCGAGAGGGUCGCGCGUGGUGAGGUGAAGCUCAGCUAUUGCACCACCGACGACAUGGUGGCUGACAUCCUAACCAAGGCACUGGGCGAGGUCAAGUUCGUGCGCUGCCGCACAGCGCUGGGCGUCACUUAGAUCGCCAGAGGAGGAGUGCUGAGGGCUUUGAGGAAUUGUUUUGAGCUAGGCUUUAGGGGGUGCUGAGGGUGCGUGAGCAGGCGCCCGAAUGGGCAGGUCAAUGCCUGAAGGGGCGCCGUAGGCAGUGCGUACGGUGCUGUACGACGCUGUUUUCCCUGUAUAUGUUUGUGCAGCAGCGCCAGACCGCAUAGCCAUCAGGCUGAAGGCUGGCAAGCUGCGUUUGUGUCUGCUGAGUGUUGAGCAGUCGGCCUGGACCGCGGACUUGUCGGCCGAACUAGCUCGUCGGUACUAGCCGUUUGUAGUCAGGCCCCAGUGCGACUCGAGGGGGCGUGUUGAUGCGAAUGAAUGACGUGUCGCCCCGUGGCCUGUUUAGGUAACUUGUCAGGUUGUCGUGAGUAACAGCUGUGGCUUGUUUAAGACUGCCCAUCUGUGAGCAACGGCUGGCAGGUUCUAGUGUACUGACAACUCGUCCAUCUGGAUAAGCUUUCCAAGCCUUUAUUGGUAAUAGUAUUUCUUGGUAAUAGUACCUCAGAUUCACACGUUUACGCCUAGGUAAAGGGGCUAUCGGUGGUAGGUCGCGGAUCUCCCGAAUACGUGUAACGGCUAAUGUCUCCUUAGUCGUGUCUGCUAGGUCCCAGUGAGAUAGCGUCUCACCAACAGCCAGCCCCACGUCAAGACGGCUGAGAUCCUUCCAACGGCCGCCGGGCCGCAGCUAACCCACCGGACAGACCGCCCAGUAGCUUUGCGGCCAAAUGCUCCAAGGUCCGAAGAGGCGCCGCAGUCGGGCCCAGGAGCACCUGCUGGCGCCCCUGCUGGCGCCCCUGCUCCCUGCCGCUGCUGCCUUCUUCUGAGGAUGCUCUUGUUGGUGGCUUUGCGCUUUUAGCUUUCGUUGUUGUCGGUGGUGGUGCUGGUGGUGCUAGUGGUGCUGGUGGUGCUGGUGGUGCUGGUUGCGAUGAG
rnacentral:lncRNA from 1 species